GCUGGGUGUGGCAGUGUACACCUGUAAUCCUGGCAACUGGGGAGGCUGAGGCAGGAGGAUCUCUAGUUCAAGACCAGCCUCAGCAACUUAGUGAGACCCUAAGCAACUUAGACCCUGUCUCAA
rnacentral:sRNA from 1 species